UGAGAAUGAGAUGUACAAAAGAUUACAGAGACAAGGGACACUAAAUGACUACACACCACUUCGACCAUCUUGGUCUUCUUCUCCUUUUUCUCCUUCUUCUUUUCGUCUUCCUUCUUCUCCUCUUUCUUU
rnacentral:ribozyme from 12 species